rnacentral:rRNA from 1 species
AGCGCAGGCUGUUUUACAAGUCAGAUGUGAAAGCCCAUGGCUCAACCGUGGAAGUGCAUUUGAAACUGUAAGACUUGAGUAUCAGAGGGGAAAGUGGAAUUCCCGGUGUAGAGGUGAAAUUCGUAGAUAUCGGGAGGAAUACCGGUGGCGAAGGCGACUUUCUGGCUGAAUACUGACGCUGAGGCUCGAAAGCGUGGGGAGCAAACAGGAUUAGAUACCCUGGUAGUCC